CCUCUUUCAGGGUUGCACCUGGAGCGUUUCCAGUACUCUACCAGUCUCAGCUAAGAGAGGGAGAGUCGAGCAGAGGCAUAUACACAUUCCAUUCCUAGCUUGGCCAGUGGCUAGCGAGUGGAAGGCAAUCUGCUAUAAAU